rnacentral:rRNA from 1 species
UACGUAGGGGGCCAGCGUUGUCCGGAAUCAUUGGGCGUAAAGCGCGCGUAGGCGGUCAGGUAAGUCCGGUGUGAAAGUCAAAGGCUCAACCUUUGAAUGCCGCUGGAUACUGCCUGACUUGAGUCCGGAAGGGGAGAGUGGAAUUCCUGGUGUAGCGGUGAAAUGCGCAGAUAUCAGGAAGAACACCCGUGGCGAAGGCGGCUCUCUGGGACGGUACUGACGCUGAGACGCGAAAGCGUGGGGAGCGAACAGG